CUGAUCCCACACAAACCGAUUUGCUAACUAAUUUGGGCUCCUGCGAAUCUCGACAUGAAGGGGACGAAUAUUGCUCUUUGUCUGCUGAUGCUGAUGGCGAUGACCACAGUAACGAGCUUUAAAUUGCUAUCACUGCCAUGUUUGGCUACAUGCAGAAAAUUUUGUCCUUUUGGCUUCAAGAACGACGGUAAUUGCCCAAGGUGUACCUGUGCAAAGAGUCCAAUCGAAGGAGUUGACUUGUGGUGAAGUUCAAUCCGGAGCAAUGUUAUGUAUGGCACACAAUAAAAAUAGUAAAUAAUUUG